rnacentral:tRNA from 1 species
UUAAUUGAAACCAAAAAGAGGUUUAUCACUGUUAAUGAUAUAAAUGGGCUAAUAAUCGCCCCAAUUAAA